GAUGAACGCUGGCGGCGUGCCUAAUACAUGCAAGUCGAGCGAACUGAUUAGAAGCUUGCUUCUAUGACGUUAGCGGCGGACGGGUGAGUAACACGUGGGCAACCUGCCUGUAAGACUGGGAUAACUUCGGGAAACUGAAGCUAAUACCGGAUAGGAUCUUCUCCUUCAUGGGAGAUGAUUGAAAGAUGGUUUCGGCUAUCACGUACAGAUGGGCCCGCGGUGCAUUAGCUAGUUGGUGAGGUAACGGCUCACCAAGGCAACGAUGCAUAGCCGACCUGAGAGGGUGCUCGGCCACACUGGGACUGAGACACGGCCCAGACUCCUACGGGAGGCAGCAGUAGGGAAUCUUCCGCAAUGGACGAAAGUCUGACGGAGCAACGCCGCGUGAGUGAUGAAGGCUUUCGGGUCGUAAAACUCUGUUGUUAGGGAAGAACAAGUACAAGAGUAACUGCUUGUACCUUGACGGUACCUAACCAGAAAGCCACGGCUAACUACGUGCCAGCAGCCACCGUAAAAC
rnacentral:rRNA from 1 species